rnacentral:SRP_RNA from 1 species
GCCAGGCGCAGGGGCUCACGCCUGUCAUCCCAGCACUUUGGGAGGCCGAGGCGGGCGGAUCUCCUGAGGUCAAGAGCUCGAGACCAGCCUGGCCAACAUGGUGAAACCCCGUCUCUACUAAAUACCAAAAAUUAGCCGGGCGUGGUGGUGAGCGCCUGUCAUCCCAGCACUUUGGGAGGCCGAGGCGGGGGGGUCUCCUGAGGGCNNNNNNNNNNGCCCUCAGGAGACCCCCCCGCCUCGGCCUCCCAAAGUGCUGGGAUGACAGGCGCUCACCACCACGCCCGGCUAAUUUUUGGUAUUUAGUAGAGACGGGGUUUCACCAUGUUGGCCAGGCUGGUCUCGAGCUCUUGACCUCAGGAGAUCCGCCCGCCUCGG